ensembl:lncRNA
CGGAAGGCAACAGCGGCCAGUCAGGCAACGGCGCCCGGCCAGUAGCCCGGCCAGCGGUCCAGAAAACGGCCGUUUAGCUCCAGACCCAAACGAGGCUGGGCCAGGCGAGGCUGAGGGCACGGAAGCCGGGACCGCAGCAGGCGGAGAUGAUGAUGCAGACACGAAGGCCGGACCAGACGAUGAUGCAGACACGAAGGCCGGACCAGGCGAGGAUGCAGACACGAAGGCCGGACCAGGCGAGGCUGAUGAGGAUGCAGACACGAAGGCGGACCAGGCGAGGCUGAUGAGGAUGCAGACACGAAGGCGGACCAGGCGUGGAUGAAGCUGGAGAUGAAACCGGGCCAGGCGUGGAUGAAACCGGGCCAGGCGAUGAAGAAGCUGUAGCUGAAGCCGGGCCGGGCGAGGACGAAGCUGUAGCUGAAGCUGGGCCGGGCGAAGCUGACGCUGUAGCUGAAGCUGGGCCAGCCGAGGAUGAAGCUGGACCAGAAUCAGGCGAGGAUGAAGCCGAGGAUGAAGCCGGGCCAGGCGUGGAUGAAACCGGGCCAGGCGAGGAUGAAGCCGGGCCAGGCGAGGCUGCGUCCUCAGGCUGAGGCGUGGUAGUAGCAGGUGGUAGCGCUGCAGGUGGUGGUACUGCAGGAGGCGGCGCUGCAGCCACAGGUGGAGAAGCAGCCACAGGUGGAGAAGCAGCCACAGGUGGAGAAGCAGCCACAGGUGGAGAAGCAGCCACAGGAGGCCAGACGGGCUCCUCGAGCCCCCCAGCCGACGUGGCAGUCAGUGUGGCAUGAGGCUGGACGGGCUCCUCGGGCCCCCCAGCUAGCGAAGCAGGAGGCUGGACGGGCUCCUCGGGCCCCCCAGCGAAAACAGCCGCAGAACCAGUAGGCACGUGGGCCUCUGGCACACAUGAAACAAAACCAGUAGGCACGUGGGCCUCUGGCACAUAUGAAACAAAACCAGUAGGCACGUGGGCCUCUGGCACGUAUGAAACAAAACCAGUAGGCACGUGGGCCUCCGGCACACAUAAGGAGGGCUGCAGCUGCGCAGAGCACUGACCCUGCUCAGGCAGUGACAGCCCGGUGCAGUUCCCAGCUGGCAUCUUGGCCUCCAGGGGUCCAGAGUAAGCUGAGGGCAGUAACCCAGCCUCUGGGGAAGCCCCGGAGUGAGCAAUAGUCUCUAAUGUAGCCAGCUUUUGAGGAACAGGUCCGUAGUGAAACAGUUUGUCUCCCUGCUCAGAAACAGCGGUGGAAAAACAGUGCGAAAAUUGUGGCUCAGCCAUUACCGGAACUGUGGGCUGUAGCGAUGCUAGCGGUGGUGGUGGCUGAGUGGCUAACCGGAGCGGCGGCAGAACGGGUAAUUGAGCCCUUAGGGAGGCUAACGGUUGAGCCACAGACCUGAGAGCUUGUGGCCGGACACAGAACUGAGCCGGAGAAUGGUGAUAAAGUCCUGGCUCAGAAGGAGCGGCAGAGAAACAGUCUCUCGGUUUUACAGAGGGUUUGUAGACGCCCACUUGCGAAGGAUCCGUUACCACGAAGGUAGGUAAGCUAUCUACACUGUCUCUCAUCCCGCUCUGAAUAGCCCCAGAAAACAGAGUCCCGGAAUCUGGGGAAGCCAGAACAUGUCGCUCGCUCACCGCCUCAGGGUGAUUUAUUGAUAAUAUCAAAUAUAAAGUGGGGAUGGUAAAACAGAACUAAGGAUGAACUAACUGGGAGAAACUACACAAAGAAAUAGCAAACCUGAGCAUGAAGGGAGAACAGCAGGGAGAGCACGCAGGGGAUUACACCAGGUAUGAACACAGACGACGCGACCAGGAGCAGAGGAAAUCACACACUAUAAGUACACGAAGAGACACUGGGAAAUCACACACAGGUGGGGGAAACAGCUGGACCUGAUUAACCUGACGAGACAGGGGAACACUAACACCAGUGAAGGAAACGGUUUCCAGGGCCUAAUCCGUGGAUCGACUUCCUUCGAGGCGUGGACGUCUAUCAGCAGAGAAUGUACCUUCACCUAUCAGCAGAGAAUGUCCCUUAGUCUGUAACACAGUCAAAUAUAUUCUCAAGUAAUAUUCAAGCAUGCCAUUCGGCGUGUUAGUACGAGCUCGGGAGCAGCUUGGGAGAACAAGAAAACAGAGACUGCUUUAGAUUGUCUUCCCAAAGUGACUCAACUUUAUUCACAAGUACAACAGUUUAUAUAGAGGGUAAAAUUCAUGAGACAGCAGAUUUAUCAGUUUAAACCAGUACAGACCAAGAUAAGGCAGCGUCUUCCUGCCCUUGGGUGAAGAAGCAUCCUUUGUGUAGUUUAUCAGUUCAGCUACAAUUGUGAUUAUCUCAGCGACAUAUUUUCAAGGCACAAAACAAAGAGUUCUUACAUUAGUGAAAUCUGAAACAAACCAUUUGGCCUUCAACAGGCGUCUCCUAAAAGAUUAAGAAACUAAUGUAGCUGAGGGAGUGAUCUCUGUGGUAUUUCAACCUUGUACCAGCCUGUGAUUCUCACACAUCAAUUCUUGGGUCAAAGAGAAAAAUAACUAAAACAAAGGGGCCUUAUUGAAUGACAGAGUUUUCCUGUAUAAUGUCACUAUAAAACAAUAUCCAGUAAAUGCUACCAUGGUACUAAAAUACCUAACAACCAGGGACCAACAGAGUGAGCACAAACCCAGAACCCAGUGUCUAAAAUCCCAAACACAAACCAUCCCAAAACAGCCAUGAAUAAUAAUGAAAGUAAUAACAAUAAGGGACACAAACACAAAGUCACUCAGUCAUGGCCGCAGGACCAUGACAGUUAAGUUCCCUAAUUUGGUUGCUUUUGUAAAUUGGAGCUAAAUAAAUAAAUCAAAUUGAAAUAUAUUAAAUUUAGGGAGAUAAAACUCACCUUUUGCAAAUACCUUAAUGUCACGGAUUAUAGUGAAAUACAGUAGAAACAUAUUUAAAAUUGCAGUAAAAAAAAAGUAGUAAUUCACUAGCUGGGAUCACAUGCUUGUGAAAACCUACAAAAAUGUUAGGUUUGCUAACAUUUUUGUUGUUAAUGGCAGAUGGCUUGAGCAUAAAUUGAGGCUGUGGUUUGGGGACGGCCUCAGAGGGGACUGGUGCCAGUUCCUGGGUCAGGCAGAUCCCCAUAAGAAGUGAAUUAUUUGAAAAAGGGAGAGAGGGUGGGUACGAAUCUAAGAGGAGACAAUAGCGACCUCAUUGUACAGGAUACAGUAACCAUCGCA